CUAACGCCGGUCAUGAAGCGGCGGUAAUACUUAGACUCCAAGGGUGAUCCGGAAACAUUGGGUGUAAAGGGACCGAAGGCGGUUUAAUAAGUCAGUGGUGAAAGCCCAUCGAUAAACAGUUGAACGUCAAUUGAUACUGUUAGACUUGAAUUACAAGGAAGUAACUAGAAUAUGUAGUGUAGCGGUGAAAUGCUUAGAUAUUACAUGGAAUACCAAUUGCGAAGGCAGGUUACUACUUGUGGAUUGACGCUGAUGGACGAAAGCGUGGGGAGCGAACAGGAUUAGAUACCCCAGAGUC
rnacentral:rRNA from 1 species